rnacentral:rRNA from 1 species
UGACGUAUCGGAUUACUGGGCGUAAGCGUGCGCAGGCGGUUCGUUAAGACAGAUGUGAAAUCCCCGGGCUAAACCUGGGAACUGCAUUUGUGACUGGCGAGCUAGAGUAUGGCAGAGGGGGGUAGAAUUCCACGUGUAGCAGUGAAAUGCGUAGAGAUGUGGAGGAAUACCGAUGGCGAAGGCAGCCCCCUGGGCCAAUACUGACGCUCAUGCACGAAAGCGUGGGGAGCAAACAGGAUUAGAUACCCUGGUAGUCCACGCCCUAAACGAUGUCAACUAGUUGUUGGGUCUUCAUUGACUUAGUAACGUAGCUAACGCGUGAAGUUGACCGCCUGGGGAGUACGGUCGCAAGAUUAAAACUCAAAUGAAUUGACGGAAUCGAUACUUGUAUUUCUGGCCGGGUGUUGGUCUCAAGACAAUUGGCCCGGCCCAGCCCGCCCGGUUCUCGCCAUUUCUCAUCCUACUUUCAUCCCGGCCACCCCUUGCUCUUUCCCCGGUUUUCCAACCCUUACUCAAUGAGCUUCCUCUCCCCGGCCCUCCCCAUGUCAAGAUUUCGAGACCUUUCCCCGGGGACCUUCCGCGGUCUACCGUUCCUAACCCCCGUCCAACAGCCCUCCGCCCGUCUUCGCUCCCGCGCUCGUUUUUCCCCCCUCCUCCCCGCCCCCCGCCCCACCCCCACUACCUCCCAUCGGCGCCCCGUUACCCGGUCCUACGCCGCGGCUUAUGCUGGCGUC